GAUGAACGCUGGCGGCGUGCCUAAUACAUGCAAGUCGAGCGAACAGAUGAGGAGCUUGCUCCUCUGACGCUAGCGGCGGACGGGUGAGUAACACGUGGAUAACCUACCUAUAAGACUGGGAUAACUUCGGGAAACCGGAGCUAAUACCGGAUAAUAUAUUGAACCGCAUGGUUCAAUAGUGAAAGACGGUUUUGCUGUCACUUAUAGAUGGAUCCGCGCCGCAUUAGCUAGUUGGUAAGGUAACGGCUUACCAAGGCAACGAUGCGUAGCCGACCUGAGAGGGUGAUCGGCCACACUGGAACUGAGACACGGUCCAGACUCCUACGGGAGGCAGCAGUAGGGAAUCUUCCGCAAUGGGCGAAAGCCUGACGGAGCAACGCCGCGUGAGUGAUGAAGGUCUUCGGAUCGUAAAACUCUGUUAGUAGGGAAGAACAAAUGUGUAAGUAACUAUGCACGUCUUGACGGUACCUAAUCAAAAAGCCACGGCUAACUACGUG
rnacentral:rRNA from 1 species